rnacentral:rRNA from 1 species
GAUGAACGCUGGCGGCGUGCCUAAUACAUGCGAGUCGAGCGAACGGACGAGAAGCUUGCUUCUCUAAUGUUAGCGGCGGACGGGUGAGUAACACGUGGAUAACCUACCUAUAAGACUGGGAUAACUUCGGGAAACCGUAGCUAAUACCGGAUAAUAUUUUGAACCGCAUGGUUCAAAAGUGAAAGACGGUCUUGCCGUCACUUAUAGAUGGAUCCGCGCUGCAUUAGCUAGUUGGUAAGGUAACGGCUUACCAAGGCAACGAUGCAUAGCCGACCUGAGAGGGUGAUCGGCCACACUGGAACUGAGACACGGUCCAGACUCCUACGGGAGGCAGCAGUAGGGAAUCUUCCGCAAUGGGCGAAAGCCUGACGGAGCAACGCCGCGUGAGUGAUGAAGGUCUUCGGAUCGUAAAACUCUGUUAUUAGGGAAGAACAUAUGUGUAAGUAACUGUGCACAUCUUGACGGUACCUAAUCAGAAAGCCACGGCUAACUACGUG